UCAGGCUUAUUGAUAUAAUAAGCGACGAGAGAAAUGCUGCAUAAAGAAAGAUGAGCUCUGUUGUGUUGCAGUAAGAACCUUAGCAGCAGAGUGGGCCAGAAGAGAGGCAGCUGAGAGGGGAAAGGAGGCUCUUGAGGAAAAGAUUAAAGAGCUGCAGCAAAUGUUGGAGGACCAAGAAAGAGUCUCCGAGGGAUUUAGAGCCCAAGUGCCAGAGGAGAUGAAAGAAAGAGAAAAGACCUCGGCAGAAGAUCUGGACAAAAAAGAAGUUGAGAGGGAAAUGGAAUUGCUUAAACAAAAGAUUAAAGAGCUGCAGCAAAUGUUGGAGGACCAAGAAAGAGUCUCCGAGGGAUUUAGACCCCAAAUACCAGAGGAGAUGAAAGAAAGAGAAAAGACCUCGGCAGAAGAGCCAAACAAAAGAGAAGAAGCUGAGAGGGAAGAGGAGUCUCUUGAGCAAAAUGUUAAAGGGCUGCAGCAGAAGUUGGAGGACCGACAAACAGACGUCAAUGGAUUAAAAGCCCAAGUGACAGAGGGGAUCAGCAAAAGGGAAAAGACCUCAGUAGGUACAGGGGAGGGCUCAGCUCACAGUGGGGCGGGGAGGUUCCUGCAGUGCCCUCGGAGACCCUGA
rnacentral:lncRNA from 1 species